rnacentral:lncRNA from 1 species
CCGGACUACAUUUCCCAGGAGCCUCGGCGCGCACUUCCGCUUCUGGCCCCUUUCUCCGGAGGAGCUCCGCGCGUGGCGAGUCUGUGUCCUCCCUGUCCCCCAGAGCAGAGAACCCUCUGUGUGUCUGGACCGGGGAGGAGCAGACGCUGGACAGUUUCUGGCAGAAUGCUGGCAAUUCCCAGGAAGAUAUGUGGAGAAUGGAAAGGUUGCUUCACCCAAAUAGUGGCGCAAAGGCUAUGAUUAUGGAGGAUUGGACCUGCAAAUCCCAGAACAGAUUUUUCUUUACAGCAACCUUGUAAAAUGUGUGUGGGCAGCACAGAGACCUUGGGCAAGUUAACAGUUUCCUCAUCUGUAAAUACUGAUUUAUGGAAAGCACCUGGUGUAUGGUGAGUGUGCGAAGAAUGGUAGUGAUUUUACUAAUAUUCCCUUUUAAUUUGAAACUCUGAAAAAACAAGAUACCUUACUUC